GCCACCCCAAAAAACGUGCACUGUUGAGAAAAUACAAAAUACAUGGGCAGCUGCUGAAGUGGCACGCUGUUAGGGCGAGAAAUCUUUCCCCUUUCGGAUUGAAAGUUAUUUAGUAUUAGUGAAAUACUAAGUAGUAAAAGAAUAUACAUUGAUAUUGGCUAAAAGCUGAACAAACCAAGUAUGAUUUGAACAAACCAAGUAAGAUACCUUCAAAUCAGUAUCUUUCCCUGGUCCCUGCGCAAAUAUAAAGGUACUUAGAUUUCUUCAGAAGGAAAAAAAAAGUUGGCAUCAUGAGCCUUGCCUCAACCACGUAAUACAGUAAGCAGAUUACAAAUUAUGCAUCUCUGUAAAGCACCGUAAAGAAGGCAUGGUAAACAGAUUAAAUUAUCCAUUGUGAGAAGCCUUUUAUCAAACACAUGAUGUGCUAAUGAAAUAGAUUACGGAGGAGAGAGGAGAUACCUGGGCGGCUAGGAGGGGAGGAAGAUUCCAUCGUUUGAGUUGAGUUCAAGCGCACUGCCAUGGCUUCAGCAGAUGGGCUUCCCCUAAUAUUUAGUGGCGAAAGCGUCAGCCGGACAACUUGGAGGCGGCACGGUGAGAGGCGGCGGCGGCGGCGGGCUGGGCGACAGUACCAACGGGAGCACUUGGCGCCACGCGGGCCGAGAGGAAGGCAGCAGCGCAGUAGGGAAGGAUUUCGACGGGCACAAGGAGUCCGGGUCAAGGGGCGUCGGCGCGAGACACUGCGGCCAAAGAUGGAGGAAGGGUAAACAAAGAGC
rnacentral:lncRNA from 1 species